CAGCAUAUGUCUGAUUUCUAUUUGAAUGCUUUCACCCAAAACAUUAGAUCAUUAAACUAUACCAUUCAUUUUGAUCAUGGUCUGUGUUUCUUGGGGACCAUCUUUACUUUUAGGAAAUAUACCCUGAAGUGCUUAACAGUAAAGUAUCACAAUAUAUGCAAUUUACUUUCAAUUAGUUAAAAAAUGUAUAUUUAUAGAGACAGUUAAAGCCUUGUUAACAACUGGUGGAUCCAGCUGAAGGAUACUGUAUAUUUCUUCAAUACUCCUAUAGGAUUGAAAAUUAACCAAAUAAGGGAAAUAUUUCACUCAAUGAAAACACCAUUGCCCAACAUGCUUUUCAACAUUCUUUACACUACUAAUCAUAACUGUGUGCUCUUUGCAUGAUAAGUAUCACAGUAACCCAUGUAUCACAAACAGAUGCUUAUAUUUAGCUGUGAUAUCCCAGUGCAGGGAUUCCUACAUUCCUUGUUAUUUCAUAAUCCUUUCAUAGAGGAUUAUGAAAUAACAAGAGAAAUAGGACUGCGCUUUUCUGGAUGACACUUUUCUCAUACUUUCAAAGACUCUUAUGACCUCAAUUUAAGAACCAUCAUCCUAAAAGGACACAAUCCCUUAGGCCACAAGGACCUAAGUUUAAUAAAGAUGACACAAAAUCAAUGAGGAUAUCAAAUCUUGUAUAACAGUGUAGAAAAUGAAAACCAGAGAUAAUUUUCUACCCUUUACUUUGGAAAACUCUUUUAAGGGUGACUUUGCAGGGUGUGGUGGUGCACGCCCAUAAUCCCAGUGACUGAAGGAUCACAACUUAGACACUGUCUCAAAAAAUGAAAAGGGCUGGAGAUAUCAUAAGGUCCUUGCUUAGCAUUUGGAUGGCCAUCUUAAAUGACAGUCACCAUUUUAAGGAAAAAGUUUCACUUUCCUGCCCCAGGGCCUUUCUGAAAAAGACUCACCACUCCCUCAUACCAACCCAACCCUAACCAUCUGCAUUAGGACCCAGCCGCAUUAGGAUCCAGACGGCUCUGAGCCUCCCCCAUAAAAGUCCCAGAACUCAAGCCUGUUUUGCCUUUCUCUCCUAUAGUGAGAUGGCCUUUAUUUGUCAGCUCUGACAAACUCUCAUGUGUAUCUCUGCCUGGUCUCCAUCUUUCAUGUCUCGCUUACCCAUCUCUCAUUCCUCACUUUCCCUUCAGUAGUGAUGCACCCCUGCAUUCAAUCCCCAGUACUAAAAGUAAACUAAUUUAUGUUUCAGGUUUUUUUCCACCUCUUCUAUAAAAAUCGCUGAGUGAUGAGACAUGCGGUCUCAUGUAAGAGUAGCUACUGAUGGCUACCAAUAGAAAGUAUGACUCUAUUAAAGAACUUCAUGGCAGUAUCUUCCCAUUAUCACACUCCACAGGGCCAGUGGAUAUCUUACAUACUUCUCUAAUUCUCACUACCACCCUCUAAGGGUGAGGUAGUGAGAUGAAGAAAUUAAGUCUCAAAAAAUUUAAGCAAAUUAUUAUUCGAGGCCAUGACAGUUGUCCCCAGCAAAGCUCUGAAACCUGGCCCUCUCUAUAGUUUAUUCAAAUAUAUGUCAUAAUUUUUCCACCAAACUCUAUAUCAUGACAUUUCUAAUUUGUUUCUCUUGUGAAGGACUUUAACCUCUGUACAGCUUAGCACAGUUGCCUUCAAAUGUUCACACUAACCUUUCCAUUUCUAAACCACCAAAAUAUACUUUUGUAACAGUGGUCUACUUUAUGCUUUGAAUAUAGCCUUUGCCA
rnacentral:lncRNA from 1 species